GACGAACGCUGGCGGCGUGCUUAACACAUGCAAGUCGAACGGAAAGGCCCUGCUUUUGUGGGGUGCUCGAGUGGCGAACGGGUGAGUAACACGUGAGUAACCUGCCCUUGAUUUUGGGAUAACUUCAGGAAACUGGGGCUAAUACCGGAUAGGAGCUCCUGCUGCAUGGUGGGGGUUGGAAAGUUUCGGCGGUUGGGGAUGGACUCGCGGCUUAUCAGCUUGUUGGUGGGGUAGUGGCUUACCAAGGCUUUGACGGGUAGCCGGCCUGAGAGGGUGACCGGCCACAUUGGGACUGAGAUACGGCCCAGAGUCCUACGGGAGGCAGCAGUGGGGAAUAUUGCACAAUGGGCGGAAGCCUGAUGCAGCAACGCCGCGUGCGGGAUGACGGCCUUCGGGUUGUAAACCGCUUUCGCCUGUGACGAAGCGUGAGUGACGGUAAUGGGUAAAGAAGCACCGGCUAACUACGUG
rnacentral:rRNA from 1 species